UCGAAGCCCUAAAGACGCUCUCGAAGCCAUCGAUGCCUCGAAAUUCAAACGGGGGUUCGUUGGAUGGGGGAAUCACGGCGGAGCCGAUCGAAGCGGGAAGAGGAAACGAAAGGGGAAGCGUUUAGUGAAGGCAAUGGAUCGUUAUAUAGAGCUCGCCCACAUCUCUCUAUCCUCCUUUACAUUUUUUUCUUAUAUAGCGUAUAUAUUUAAUUUGUAGCGGUUUAAACCGUAUUGCAGAAGAGGAUGUGCUCACCGUCGAGUGAGAGAGAUAUCACACUCAGGAAGUUAGAAGCCGCGUGGUUUUUUCAAGGUAACCUCACCGGAGGUUCGGUGGGUAGCGGAAGGGGGAAACAGACGACGCCACACGAAGUCGCGUACCCAAUGCCUUUGCCGUAGGGCCCCAGCGAGUACUCUACUGUGGUCGUCACGUAUACGUACAUUCUUACGCGGAGUAGUACGGGAGAGGGAAUCGGGUACGGUAUACAGAGAUGUUGCAGGGACUCAUCUCCAUUAAAGAAUGGAAAGGGGAAGAUACGAAGAGAAGAAUAGCCGACAGCUUUUCUUCCAUCGAGGCCUCGACACGUUGUCCCCCGUGCACAGAUAUUAGCAAUGUGACGCAAGAAGCUUCUGCGGACAAGUCGUCAGCCAUUUCAAGUGCCUUUUCGAGUGCAUUUCUCCUUUGUUAUUUACGAGUAGAAAAAUAUUCUAUGAAUAAUUGAUGAAUAAAUAUAUUUUUUAAAAGAUAAAUGAUGACUUAACGAA
rnacentral:lncRNA from 1 species